GUGGGGAAUAUUGGACAAUGGGCGAAAGCCUGAUCCAGCCAUGCCGCGUGUGUGAAGAAGGUCUUCGGAUUGUAAAGCACUUUAAGUUGGGAGGAAGGGCAGUAAGUUAAUACCUUGCUGUUUUGACGUUACCGACAGAAUAAGCACCGGCUAACUUCGUGCCAGCAGCCGCGGUAAUACGAAGGGUGCAAGCGUUAAUCGGAAUUACUGGGCGUAAAGCGCGCGUAGGUGGUUUUGUAAGUUGGAGGUGAAAUCCCCGGGCUCAACCUGGGAACUGCCUCCAAAAAUGCAUGACUAGAGUACGGUAGAGGGUAGUGGAAUUGCCUGUGUAGCGGUGAAAUGCGUAGAUAUAGGAAGGAACACCAGUGGCGAAGGCGACUACCUGGACUGAUACUGACACUGAGGUGCGAAAGCGUGGGGAGCAAACAGGAUUAGAUACCCGAGUAGUCC
rnacentral:rRNA from 1 species